GACGAACCGAGCGAACGUUGUUCGGAAUCACUGGGCUUAAAGGGCGCGUAGGCGGAUUCUCAAGUCCGGGGUGAAAUCCCACAGCUCAACUGUGGAACUGCCUCGGAUACUGGGAGUCUCGAGGGUGGCAGGGGUAUGCGGAACUAUCGGUGGAGCGGUGAAAUGCGUUGAUAUCGAUAGGAACUCCGGUGGCGAAGGCGGCAUACUGGUCCACUUCUGACGCUGAGGCGCGAAAGCGUGGGGAGCAAACAGG
rnacentral:rRNA from 1 species